AAAACAAAAAUUUUACUUUUUAAAAAAAAAAAUCUAUUUCAUUUUUCUGUUUUAAAAAAAUAAAAAGGGGAUGAGGUUUUCUCUGCUAGGGUUUUUUCUUUAACCCAACCCCCCCAAAGCCACCGCAACCUCCACAGCGGGUCUGAGGCCCCUCUCCGACUCCGAUUCGGGUAACAAGCAGGAUUCCUUCUUCGCAGGUGAAGGAAAACGUGGAAACGAGCAUUGCAGGGCCGCUGAACGUGUGAGUACGACGUGGGUAAUGGAACGGUUGCUGUGGCGUGGGCAGUUGCUAAAGCGUCGAUUUGCUUCAAUCUGCUUCCAUUGCUGCUGUAGACCUGUUGUGGGCUAGGGUUUGCACACUUGGGCCUUGUUGGGCCAAAUGUAAUUGGGUCAAGUUUUAUUGGGUUUGAUUAGUUAAUUUGGGCUCCAGGCAACAAUUGGGUAUUAAAACUGGGUCUGUAAUUUAUUGUAUUUUUAUUUUAAGGUUUAUGUAUUCGGGCCCGGGCUAAAAUGGCCUAUUACAAGGUUUAUUCUUAAAGUGAAAUAAAAAUAAUAAAUUUUAAUUAAAA